rnacentral:tRNA from 1 species
AAAGCCCUGCAGACACA